rnacentral:rRNA from 1 species
GACCUACGGGGGGCAGCAGUGGGGAAUAUUGCACAAUGGGGGAAACCCUGAUGCAGCGACGCCGCGUGAGUGAAGAAGUAUUUCGGUAUGUAAAGCUCUAUCAGCAGGGAAGAAAAUGACGGUACCUGACUAAGAAGCCCCGGCUAACUACGUGCCAGCAGCCGCGGUAAUACGUAGGGGGCAAGCAUUAUCCGGAUUUACUGGGUGUAAAGGGUGCGUAGGUGGCAGGGCAAGUUAGAUGUGAAAGCCCGGGGCUCAACCCCGGUACUGCAUUUGAAACUGUCCAGCUGGAGUGCAGGAGAGGU